rnacentral:rRNA from 1 species
AGCUCUCCGAGUGGUGUGGAUGUUUAUUGGGCCUAAAGCAUCCGUAGCUGGCUAAGUUAGUCCCUUGUUAAAUCCACCGAAUUAAUCGUUGGAUUGCGGGGGAUACUGCUUGGCUAGGGGACGAGAGAGGCAGACGGUAUUCUUGGGGUAGGGGUGAAAUCCUAUAAUCCCAGGAAGACCACCAGUGGCGAAGGCUGUCUGCUAGAACGCGCCCGACGGUGAGGGAUGAAAGCUGGGGGAGCGAACC